GGGAUCCCAUCAGAACUCCGAAGUUAAGCGUGCUUGGGCGAGAGUAGUACUAGGAUGGGUGACCCCCUGGGAAGUCCUCGUGUUGCACCC
rnacentral:rRNA from 1 species